UGGUCAAUUAAAAAGUCUGACAUAUAUAUAUAUAGUUUGAAUAUUUCAGUUGCACGGAGACAUAAUCGUUAAUUUAUUCAUACAAGGUAAUAGUACAAACUGGAACAAACUACAUAAGUUACUUGAAAUGUAACUUGCAAAUUCAGAGAAGAUAUAUCACAUUCUUGAGAUUUGGAGAGGAACUGCUGCUUCAAGGGUCUCCUCCCUAGAGGAAACAGCCUGAACCAUUUCCAGACUUCCAUGUCUUUUGAUGAGAUGUCGGCGGCACGUUUCACCAGCCAUAAUUCCAGCUUCAUACGCACCAUGAACCGACCCUUGAUGAUCAUCACUGCUCACAGCUUCCCCUCCAAAGAAUAGAUUACCAAUUGGUGCACGAAGCCUAUCGUAAGCAUCCGUUGGUUUUCCAACCAAGUCAUAAGAAUAACAUCCAAGGGUGUCUGGAUCCGUACCCCAGUGAGAUACAAGAUACUGAACAGGCUUAGUGGCAUCAGGGAACAUCUUCUUCAACUGCAACAUUGCAAACUCAGCAGCAGAUUCAUCUGUUAAUUUCUCGAGGUCACAAGCAAGUCUUCCAGCAGCCAUGUAAACAAGGACCCGAUGUCCUGUUGCCUUGUGGAGAUUAAGAAAAUAACCGCAAGCAUAUGAAGUGGGUGCAACAACACCUAACAAUUCUACGUUUGGCCAAAAUACAUUAUCAAAUCGUAAUGCAAUCUUGUUUUCAUUGCCUACACCAAGAUCUGCUAUUGCAGAUUGUUUCCAUUCUGGCAGUUUUGGCUCAAACUCAAUCAAGUUGGCUUUCAGAACACCUAGAGGCACAGUUAUAAUAGCAGCAUCUGCAAUAAAAUUUCUCCCAUCCUUAACUGUAACCAUCACCUUGUUAUACCCAUUUGUAAUCCUCUUGACCCUGUGAUUUAAACGGAUAUCAAUGUCUUUUGAUAAGGCCUUUAUGACUGGGUUGUAACCUUGCACCAUAAGACCAUGACCACCAGUGAGAACUUGUUCCUGAUCCCAGGUUUUCAGAGAGAUCGUGUCUGCAUCAGCAGCGAACCAUGCCUCCAUUCUGCAUAUGUACCAUUGCAACACCUCAUGGGAAAGUCCUUCUUGCCUCAAUUCUGGAUGCCUGUCCAGUACAAUAGAUAUUGCUUGAAGAACUGACAAGUCAUGACUAUGCUCAUUCCUCACUUUCUCAGUCUCGCUGAGGAUUUUCUUGAAAACUUCUCCAACUUGAACAACUGUGUUUUGAGGAACUUGAUGACCAUCCAUGUCAAACAGCAUGUAACUUUCUAAGUCAUGGUCAUACAGCACUGAGUUGUCACCACUAGUGCGAUAUAGGGUGAGCCCUAAUCGACGUAUCAAUGGAGCCAACGGAUUCUCAUCACACACCCCGUGGAGCCAUGAUGCUCCCAUAUCAACUGGGCAACCAAAUGAGUAGUCGGUAUGUAUGCGACCACCCAGUCUAUCCCGUGACUCCAAUAAGAGAACCUUAAAAGAUGCAUUGUGAAGGAAACGCGCAGCAGCUAUCCCUGAGAUACCUCCACCAAUUACAAUUACAGACGGAGCUGAACUAUGCAGCCUACCUAAGCGGGGUGGUAAAAUGCCGUCAAAUAAAUUGCUGGAACCAGAAUCAUCAUCUUUGAUUUCCAUGAAAUCCGUGAACAAAAACGCCGACGUUGUUUAAAUCGGGAGAGAAGAGUGAAUGUUUUUGAACAGAGGAAAAAAACAGAGAAGGAAGGUGAUUGUGAAGUAAAUUACGGUUGUAUAGGAAUCAAGAAAUUAGAAAUUAAUUGAGAUGAAUGAUAAAGCAUGAAGAUAAGAAGGCCGGCAAUGAAGCGGCUGAGAUUAGAAGAAGACCGUAGCUUAUCAAGCCAGCUCAUAAUCAUAACCUGGAUCAAAUAUCAACGCAACAAAUCCUCCACAAUUGAUCGAAGAUUUUUGCUUCGUUUGCAUAGAUCGACCAGAAAUUAAUCUCUGAAUCGUAGUACGUCUCUCUCUAGAUCUCAAUAGUGAAUAAUCUCUCUUUCUCUCUCUAUAAGGAAGAGUCUGG
rnacentral:misc_RNA from 1 species